rnacentral:rRNA from 1 species
UACGGGGGGGGCAAGCGUUGUUCGGAAUUACUGGGCGUAAAGGGCUCGUAGGUGGCCAACUAUGUCAGACGUGAAAUCCCUCGGCUUAACCGGGGAACUGCGUCUGAUACUGGAUGGCUUGAGUUCGGGAGAGGGAUGCGGAAUUCCAGGUGUAGCGGUGAAAUGCGUAGAGAUGUGGAGGAACACCGAUGGCGAAGGCAGCCUCCUGGGCCAGCACUGACGCUCAUGCACGAAAGCGUGGGGAGCAAACAGG